CCUGAUGGAGGGGGAUAACUACUGGAAACGGUAGCUAAUACCGCAUAACGUCUUCGGACCAAAGUGGGGGACCUUCGGGCCUCACACCAUCGGAUGUGCCCAGAUGGGAUUAGCUAGUAGGUGGGGUAAUGGCUCACCUAGGCGACGAUCCCUAGCUGGUCUGAGAGGAUGACCAGCCACACUGGAACUGAGACACGGUCCAGACUCCUACGGGAGGCAGCAGUGGGGAAUAUUGCACAAUGGGCGCAAGCCUGAUGCAGCCAUGCCGCGUGUGUGAAGAAGGCCUUCGGGUUGUAAAGCACUUUCAGCGAGGAGGAAGGCAUUAAGGUUAAUAACCUUGGUGAUUGACGUUACUCGCAGAAGAAGCACCGGCUAACUCCGUGCCAGCAGCCGCGGUAAU
rnacentral:rRNA from 1 species